rnacentral:rRNA from 1 species
GAUGAACGCUGGCGGCGUGCCUAAUACAUGCAAGUCGAGCGAAAAGACGAGGAGCUUGCUCCUCUCACGUUUGCGGCGGACGGGUGAGUCACACGUGUAUAACCUACCUAUAAGUCUGGGAUAACUUCGGGAAACCGGAUCUAAUCCCGUAUAAUCUCUUGAACCAUAGGGUUCAAUAGUGAAUGACGGCUUUUCUGUCACUAAUAGCUGUAUCCGCGCCGCAUUAGCUAGUUGGUAAGGUAACGGCUUACCAAGGCGACGAUGCGUAGCCGACCUGAGAGGGUGGUCGGCCACACUGGAAGUGAGACACGGUCCAGACUCCUACGGGAGGCAGCAGUAGGGAAUCGUCCGCAAUAGGCGAAAGCCUGACGGAGCAACGCCGCGUGAGUGAUGAAGGUCUUCGGAUCGUAAAACUCUGUUAUUAGGGAAGAACAAAUGUGGAAGUAACUAUGCACGUCUUGACGGUACCUAAUCAGAAAGCCACGGCUAACUACGUG